rnacentral:rRNA from 1 species
AGCAGCCGCGGUAAUUCCAGCUCCAAUAGCGUAUAUUAAAGUUGUUGCAGUUAAAAGCUCGUAGUUGAAUUUCGGGGUUAGUAGAUUGGUCGUGCCACGGGUAUGUACUGGUCUUACUGAUUCCUCCUUCCUGAUGAACCGUAAUGCCAUUAAUUUGGUGUUGCGGGGAGACUGGACUGUUACUUUGAAAAAUUAGAGUGUUUAAAGCAAGCCUACGCUUGAAUACAUUAGCAUGGAAUAAUGAAAUAGGACGUUCGAUCCUAUUUUGUUGGUUUCUAGGAUUGACGUAAUGAUUAAUAGGGAUAGUUGGGGGCAUUAGUAUCAAUUGUCAGAGGUGAAAUUCUUGGAUUUAUUGAAGACUAACUACUGCGAAAGCAUUUGCCAAGGAUGUUUUCAUUAAUCAAGAACGAAAGUUAGGGAUCGAAGACGAUCAGAUACCGUCGUAGUCUU